CGUCACUGAGAGCCCUUCCCAUUUUCACUGAGCCUUUCGCUUGCUGCGCAUGCGCAUAUCCUUUCCUGGAAGCUCUUUCCUUUGGAGUUGAACUGAGCCUAACCUUGAAGAUCUGCAUACUAUCCCUGUUACUGACCUCAGUGAAUAACAUCCAUUGACCUCUCUCCUUACAUGUUGAGUUAAAAAAAUAGGAUGAAUAAAUCCAUUGUAACUC